AUUGAACGCUGGCGGCAUGCCUAACACAUGCAAGUCGAACGGUAACAGGCCCUUCGGGGUGCUGACGAGUGGCGGAUGGGUGAGUAAUACUUAGGAAUCUACCCUGUAGUGGGGGACGAACCCGGGGAAACUCGGGCUAAUACCGCAUACGCUCUACGGAGGAAAGCGGGGGACCGCAAGGCCUCGCGCUAUUGGAUGAGCCUAAGCCCGAUUAGCUAGUUGGUGGGGUAAUGGCCACCAAGGCAAUGAUCGGUAGCUGGUCUGAGAGGACGACCAGCCACACUGGGACUGAGACACGGCCCAGACUCCUACGGGAGGCAGCAGGUGGGGAAUAUUGGACAAUGGGCGAAAGCCUGAUCCAGCGAUGCCGCGUGUGU
rnacentral:rRNA from 1 species